GGGAUGAGAAUUAUGAGCUUCUGGGAUGAGGUAAUUUCCAACUGGGAUGAGGAUUAUGAGCUUCUGGGAUGAAUCUCGCUUGAUGGAAAACUGGCUGUGAGGAACUCCUCUGGCCAAGGUGAGGAGUGGGGUCAUCCCUGUGGAAUAAAUCCAAUAAAUGGAAACCUGGCUGUGUCGCAAGGUCUAACGACCGCUCUGAAUGGAGCUUGCUUUCAAAAAAGUCACGGGGCGUACUAUAGAUUUAAACAAACGUAAUCAAUCCCAGACCCAACAGGGCAACGUUUUUUCCUUCCCUCAAACCAACAACUCCCGUUUUUCCCAAGUCUGAAGAUAGAUAUGAAUCCUUCGCCUCAGAUGAGCGGAUUAUCUCAUUUUUCCGCUUUUGGGCUAUGUGUCUUUUCCCUUUCCCAGAGAUGUGUGUGAUCAAAGCCUUUCGGGCGGAAUAAGAUAUUACACCGGAUUCAGGGACUCUUGCAAUUUGUUUGGGUUUUGGUUUUGUAAGCGCGUCGGCCGUUCAAAUUUUUAUGUUUUGGACGUUUUUACGAUGAUAAGGUAAGAAAAAAUUAAAUGUCUGCAUUUUUAUUUUUUUCUUUGAUGGGCUAAAUUUGUUAAUUUUAUUUGUCGGGAUAAAGAUCUAGCUGUUUGCUUUUUUUCCUAUUAUGAUCUUUGUUCGCAACGUUAUUAAUCGAUACACACUGAUCUUUUUCG